rnacentral:rRNA from 1 species
GACGAACGCUGGCGGCGUGCUUAACACAUGCAAGUCGAACGGAAAGGCCCUGCUUUUGUGGGGUGCUCGAGUGGCGAACGGGUGAGUAACACGUGAGUAACCUGCCCUUGACUUUGGGAUAACUUCAGGAAACUGGGGCUAAUACCGGAUAGGAGCUCCUGCUGCAUGGUGGGGGUUGGAAAGUUUCGGCGGUUGGGGAUGGACUCGCGGCUUAUCAGCUUGUUGGGGGGGUAGUGGCUUACCAAGGCUUUGACGGGUAGCCGGCCUGAGAGGGUGACCGGCCACAUUGGGACUGAGAUACGGCCCAGACUCCUACGGGAGGCAGCAGUGGGGAAUAUUGCACAAUGGGCGGAAGCCUGAUGCAGCAACGCCGCGUGCGGGAUGACGGCCUUCGGGUUGUAAACCGCUUUCGCCUGUGAGGAAGCGUGAGUGACGGUAAUGGGUAAAGAAGCACCGGCUAACUACGUG